rnacentral:rRNA from 1 species
UGCCAGCAGCCGCGGUAAUACAGAGGGUGCAAGCGUUAAUCGGAUUUACUGGGCGUAAAGCGUGCGUAGGCGGUUUGCUAAGUCGGUUGUGAAAGCCCUGGGCUUAACCUGGGAAUUGCAGUCGAUACUGGCAGACUCGAGAACGGUAGAGGGAGGCGGAACUCCAGGUGUAGCGGUGAAAUGCGUAGAUAUCUGGAAGAACACCGAUGGCGAAGGCAACCUCCUGGGCCUGUUCUGACGCUGAGGCACGAAAGCGUGGGUAGCAAACAGGAUUAGAUACCCUGGUAGUCCACGCCGUAAACGAUGAGAACUUGACGUCGGCUCGCCUAGCGAGUCGGUGUCGAAGCUAACGCGCUAAGUUCUCCGCCUGGGGAGUACGGCCGCAAGGUUGAAACUCAAAGGAAUUGACGGGGGCCCGCACAAG